rnacentral:lncRNA from 1 species
AUGUUUUCCUGUACUCUCUCAUUAGGGUUUAUUACUGAUGGGAACCCCUUUCUUCUGGGCGAUGUUCUGCUUCGUCAGAUUUGCAUUCCUGGUGCCCCACUCCUUCUAACUACAGUGUCUCUCCAAGAACAAGUGAAGCGUCUCACCAAGAUCAGGAUGAUGCAGAGAACCAUGGGGUUACCUCGGGGCCCCCUGAUGCAAACAACACAAAAACAGGCUGCAUUUGGCAUGAUCAGAAUCCAGAGAUCGUGGGUGGCCAUCCCAUCAAGGGGAAUUUGCCACUUACUCAGGAGGAGGAUACGCUGUGAGACUUGGAAGAAACUCCAGUCCUGCAGUCAGUCUUACAUUCGUGUUAACACGAGUGAAAGGUGGGACGUUAGAAAUCCUACUUUGCAGGCGGACGAGAUGGGGAAACGCAGCUUCUCACGUGCUGUGUGAGCGGCGGUGGGAGGCCGAGGCCUUUUCCUCCCCUUCCCCGAGUUCCGCAGCCGCGUGAGCAGAGCCGCUGGCUAGACCGCUGCACCGAAAGCCUCUUUGCGGAAUUUGCGGUCCUCACUUUCCAGCGUGAACCUGUUCUGUGGAGAGACCCUGACUUUGGAGUCCAGCAAGGUGCUUUCUCCACCUCGGUGAGACUGGACAUUUUAACUUGCCUUCGGACAUCAAAGGACCUUGCCUGGUCUGUCAUCUCGCAAGUCACCGAUUAUCUGCUAGUCUGUUACUAUGCCUUUGUACAGGAGAACUGAAAAUGUCAGAUUUAAGGAAGUCUCAAGGUCGACAGGUCCUAUUUGGGGAGCUCUUCAAUGAGCUGUUAUUAGGAUUAUGGCUAUGAUUUUGGUCCUUUCCAGAACCCUGAAUUCAGUUAAAGCUACUGCCUAUCCACCAAGUAGCUCUUUGAGUUUUCAAGAUUUCAAGAAUUAAGUUUGGAGUUCCCGUCGUGGCUCAGUGGGAACGAAUCUGACUAGGAACCAUGAGGUCACGGGUUCAAUCCCUGGCCCUGCUCAGUGGGUUAAGGAUCCAGCAUUGCCGUGAGCUGUGCUGUAGGUCGCAGAUGCGGCUCGGAUCCCCUGUUGCUGUGGCUGUGGUGUAGGCCGGCAGCUACAGCUCUGAUUCAACCCCUAGCCUGGGAACCUUCAUACGCUGGCAAGUGCAGCC